rnacentral:rRNA from 1 species
UGGAAGUAAAAGUCGUAACAAGGUCUCCGUUGGUGAACCAGCGGAGGGAUCAUUACCGAGUUAUUCAACUCAUCAACCCUGUGAACAUACCUAAACGUUGCUUCGGCGGGAAUAGACGGCCCCGUGAAACGGGCCGCCCCCGCCAGAGGACCCUUAACUCUGUUUCUAUAAUGUUUCUUUUGAGUAAAACAAGCAAAUAAAUUAAAACUUUCAACAACGGAUCUCUUGGCUCUGGCAUCGAUGAAGAACGCAGCGAAAUGCGAUAAGUAAUGUGAAUUGCAGAAUUCAGUGAAUCAUCGAAUCUUUGAACGCACAUUGCGCCCGCCAGUAUUCUGGCGGGCAUCCCUGUUCGAGCGUCAUUACAACCCUCAGGCCCCCGGGCCUGGCGUUGGGGAUCGGCGGAGCCCCCCGUGGGCACACGCCGUCCCCCAAAUACAGUGGCGGUCCCGCCGCAGCUUCCAUCGCGUAGUAGCUAACACCUCGCGCCUGGAGAGCGGCCCGGCCCCGCCGUAAAACACCCACUCUUCUGAAGUUGACCUCGAAU